GACGAACGCUGGCGGCGUGCCUAACACAUGCAAGUCGAGCGAGUGGAGUUCUUCGGAACAAAGCUAGCGGCGGACGGGUGAGUAACACGUGGGCAACCUGCCUCAUAGAGGGGAAUAGCCUCCCGAAAGGGAGAUUAAUACCGCAUAAGAUUGUGGCUUCGCAUGAAGUAGCAAUUAAAGGAGCAAUCCGCUAUGAGAUGGGCCCGCGGCGCAUUAGCUAGUUGGUGAGGUAACGGCUCACCAAGGCGACGAUGCGUAGCCGACCUGAGAGGGUGAUCGGCCACAUUGGGACUGAGACACGGCCCAGACUCCUACGGGAGGCAGCAGUGGGGAAUAUUGCACAAUGGGGGAAACCCUGAUGCAGCAACGCCGCGUGAGUGAUGACGGCCUUCGGGUUGUAAAGCUCUGUCUUCAGGGACGAUAAUGACGGUACCUGAGGAGGAAGCCACGGCUAACUACGUGCCAGCAGCCGCGGUAAUACGUAGGUGGCGAGCGUUGUCCGGAUUUACUGGGCGUAAAGGGAGCGUAGGCGGACUUUUAAGUGAGAUGUGAAAUACCCGGGCUCAACUUGGGUGCUGCAUUUCAAACUGGAAGUCUAGAGUGCAGGAGAGGAGAAUGGAAUUCCUAGUGUAGCGGUGAAAUGCGUAGAGAUUAGGAAGAACACCAGUGGCGAAGGCGAUUCUCUGGACUGUAACUGACGCUGAGGCUCGAAAGCGUGGGGAGCAAACAGGAUUAGAUACCCAGGUAGUCCACGCCGUAAACGAUGAAUACUAGGUGUAGGGGUUGUCAUGACCUCUGUGCCGCCGCUAACGCAUUAAGUAUUCCGCCUGGG
rnacentral:rRNA from 1 species